rnacentral:rRNA from 1 species
AACGAACGCUGGCGGCACGUUUUAAGCAUGCAAGUCGAAUGGCAGCAGGGGCAACUCUGUGAGAAUGGCGAACGGGUGAGUAACACGUAGGUGAUCUGCCUUGAGGAUGGGGAUAGCCUGUGGAAACACAGGGUAAUACCGAAUGAGCUGACGAGACUUUGGUUUUGUUAGUAAAGGUGCUACGGCACCGCCUUGAGAGGAGCCUGCGGCUGAUUAGCUAGUUGGUGGGGUAAGAGCUUACCAAGGCGACGAUCAGUAGCCGGCCUGAGAGGGUGUACGGCCACACUGGAGAUGAGACACGGUCCAGACUCCUACGGGAGUCAGCAGCUAAGAAUCUUCCGCAAUGGGCGAAAGCCUGACGGAGCGAUGCCGCGUGAUCGAUGAAGGUCGAGAGAUUGUAAAGAUCUUUUCUACAUGAGGAAUAAGUCUGGGAGGGAAUGCCCGGAUGAUGACGUUAGUGUAGGAAUAAGCCCCGGCUAAUUACGUGCCAGCCGCCGCCGUAA